GCGGAUGUGGCGGAAUUGGCAGACGCAGCAGACUCAAAAUCUGCUGGUGGCAACACCGUGGGGGUUCGACUCCCUUCAUCCGCA
rnacentral:tRNA from 1 species